rnacentral:lncRNA from 1 species
UUAUGUUUUAUGAUUCAGGGUUUAAGGGAUAAGGGUUAAAGGUUUAGGGAUUAUAGUUUAUGGAUUAUGGUUUUAAGGUUGGGGUUUAAGGUUUAGGUGUUAGGGAUUAGGGGUUAAGGGUUAGAGGUUUAGGGUUUAUAAUUUAUAUUUUAUGAUUUAAUGUUUAAGGGAUAAGGGUUAGAGGUUUAGGGAUUAUGGUUUAAGGGUUGGGGAUUAAGGUUUAAGUGUUA